GACGAACGCUGGCGGCGUGCUUAACACAUGCAAGUCGAACGGAAAGGCCCUGCUUUUGUGGGGUGCUCGAGUUGCGAACGGGUGAGCAACACGUGAGUAACCUGCCCUUGACUUUGGGAUAACUUCAGGAAACUGGGGCUAAUACCGGAUAGGAGCUCCUGCUGCAUGGUGGGGGUUGGAAAGUUUCGGCGGUUGGGGAUGGACUCGCGGCUUAUCAGCUUGUUGGUGGGGUAGUGGCUUACCAAGGCUUUGACGGGUAGCCGGCCUGAGAGGGUGACCGGCCACAUUGGGACUGAGAUACGGCCCAGACUCCUACGGGAGGCAGCAGUGGGGAAUAUUGCACAAUGGGCGGAAGCCUGAUGCAGCAACGCCGCGUGCGGGAUGACGGCCUUCGGGUUGUAAACCGCUUUCGCCUGUGACGAAGCGUGAGUGACGGUAAUGGGUAAAGAAGCACCGGCUAACUACGUG
rnacentral:rRNA from 1 species